AUGGCUACUACGAGUGUUUGUCCACUCUAUGGAGGGCAGGACAGUUGGCGUCAUUCCUUGCUGGAUUGUAAUGUGUCUCGGUGCGUGUGGGCAUUGUCAGAGGCCGAGCUGGUCGAGCACAUGUUGGCAACAUCGGAAACAGAUGCAAGGCUAUGGCUUUUUGCUAUGAGCGAGUCACUUCCAACGGAGCAAUUUAAGUUGAUGAUCGUCACCUUGUGGGCUAUCUGGAGUGCACGACGGAAAGCCAUACAUGAAGAGAUCUUCCAGACCCCAUUUGCCACUGACAACUUCAUCAAAUCCUACUUGUCAGACAUAGAAUUCUUGAAGGAGAAGGAGAUAACACAGGUGAUAGUGGUACCGCGACCGAGGACGUGGGUGCCGCCACCCACAGACCACUUCAAGUUUAAUGUGGACGCUGUCGUGUCCCGCUCAGGCAUCUUCGGCGCAGUUGGAGUGGUUUGCAGGGAUGCAAGGGAUUUGUUCAUGGGAGCUUCGACCCUCGUUUUCAGGGGACUCCGUGACCCCCAGGUGCUAGAAGCACUAGCUGUACGGGAGGCAUUGGCACUUUCAGAAGAUCUCUACCUCAACCAAAUAUUGGUGGCCUCGGAUUGUAAGGUGGUGAUAGAUGCGAUCAGGGAAGGAAGCUCAGCAAACUUUGGUGCCAUUGUUCAAGAGAUCAAGGCUAGAGCAACUACCUUUAUUUCAUGUUUGUUUAGUCAUAAGUAUAGGACCUCCAAUACAGAGGCCCAUAAUCUCGCAAAGUAUGCUUUAUCUUUAGGGUUUGGCCGUCACACCUGGCUAGGCCAGCCCGGCGAUCUUGUCUUUGUACCGAUGAACAUUCUGAUUCAGUAA
rnacentral:rRNA from 1 species